GGCACCUACGGGAGGCAGCAGUGGGGAAUAUUGCACAAUGGGGGAAACCCUGAUGCAGCGACGCCGCGUGAAGGAAGAAGUAUUUCGGUAUGUAAACUUCUAUCAGCAGGGAAGAAAAUGACGGUACCUGACUAAGAAGCCCCGGCUAACUACGUGCCAGCAGCCGCGGGAAUACGUAGGGGGCAAGCGUUAUCCGGAUUUACUGGGUGUAAAGGGAGCGUAGGCGGUGAUGCAAGUCAGAGGAGAAAGCCCGAAGAUCA
rnacentral:rRNA from 1 species